GAUGAACGCUGGCGGCGUGCUUAACACAUGCAAGUCGAACGGUGAACGAGGGAGCUUGCUCCCUCCGGAUCAGUGGCGAAAGGGUGAGUAACACGUGAGCAAUCUGCCCUGGACUCUGGGAUAAGCGUUGGAAACGACGUCUAAUACCGGAUACGAGGCGUGGGGGCAUCCCCAACGACUGGAUAGAACUUGGGUCCAGGAUGAGCUCGCGGCCUAUCAGCUUGUUGGUGAGGUAACGGCUCACCAAGGCGACGACGGGUAGCCGGCCUGAGGGGGUGACCGGCCACACUGGGACUGAGACACGGCCCAGACUCCUACGGGAGGAAGCAGUGGGGAAUAUUGCACAAUGGGCGCAAGCCUGAUGCAGCAACGUCGCGUGAGGGACGACGGCCUUCGGGUUGUAAACCUCUUUUAGCAGGGAAGAAGCGAAAGUGACGGUACCUGCAGAAAAAGCACCGGCUAACUACGUGCCAGCAGCCGCCGUAAAAC
rnacentral:rRNA from 1 species